GGAAAAAAACAAUACCCGGAACUUUGCCCGGAAGAAAUACGAAAACAAUUUUGACUGCAGAAACAAACAGGCUCCUCGGGCACUUCUCUAACACAUACUCUGAGCUGUCAGAAUCCUUGCCAUGAUGAUUGCCUUUCACUGAAGUUGACGUAACCAGCUUUUAUACUAAAAUGGACUACCAAUGUUAAGUUUGCCGAGUGACCAUUGGUGUAAGUUGAAUGUUCCUAGUUGUUUGAGUCUUUGUACCUUGCAUCUUGGUCAUAUUUCAGAAUUCGUUCUUCUUUCUUUUUUCUUGAUGGAACUUUGGUGUGGGUUUUGGUGUAUUACUGUAGUCUAUUUUGUCCCGUCCUCUGGUUCUCAGUGUUACUGAACAAUCGUUUGCUCCCAUUUGUCCAGACCCCUUGUCACUGAUGUCUCUGAGUAAGCUUUGGCUGUAAAUGUAAACACAUUAUAAGUGUCAUUAGCGCCAGUAGGUGAGAAAUUCAGGAGUCCCGUUCAGCUCCCUAACAAGGAACUCUCUAGUCUGUAUCUGAAAGCUAACCCCAAAAAAACCUCAAAGAGAAGCUGAAAUAAAAGUCAUAUUAUAAAAUCUUAAGUUUAGUGAAAAAUAUCUAGGUGGGUACCAUGUGGAGAUUAUACGUUUUUAGAUUUUAUGGGAUUCGGUGUCUUACUUUGAAGUGAAUAAUUAGAGUAAUAAAAGACACACUACACAGAGUCCACUUAAACUGAACAUGGUUUAACCAAAAGAAAAGAACAUCCCCAUUUUUCCUCCCUCUAUUUGAGCAACUGGCUAAACUGAAGAAAAUCCAGCUGUCCUGCAGAUUUUGUUUUAAAACGGACUCCACUGUAUAGGAGACUGUGAGAAAAGUUUGUGCUGUACUGGAAAAUGUGGUUUGAAUUCUAAAUUAAUAUUGAAACUUGAUCAGAGUAUUUGCUACAAAGCUUUUGUUUUGGAAAGCGGACGUCAUUUUUGGCACCUUUUUUAAUAGCGAGAUAAUUGCUCUCGAGCUAUUUUAGUUUUCCUACUUUCUCAAAUGAAAAGAUCGUCUCUAUGAAUUAAUUAUCGUUAGUUUAUCAAGCAAGAGAAAAAAAUAUCUGCCCAGAUUUGCCUGUUGUUUGAUUCAGAACUACCAUACUAGUUUUGCGAGCUACAUGUUUAUACAUAUAUAAUAGAUUUGUUUGUUUUGUAAGUAUGCUUGCACGUUUAUAAAUAGCCCUAAAAAUGAGCAAGGUGUUUGGGAGUCUUUUGUCAGUUAUAUUUGUUUCUGAACUUUUUCUAUUUCCUUAUUUUCAUAGUUUCCUGUGUUAUUCCUUUCGAUUCUCCUCAUUUUCCCAAGCAAAGAUGGUUUAUCGUUUAUACUCCUAAUUUAAGGUAAAAAAAAAA